rnacentral:rRNA from 1 species
UAAUACGUAGGUGGCAAGCGUUGUCCGGAAUUAUUGGGCGUAAAGCGCGCGCAGGCGGAAUAAUAAGUCUGUCGUGAAAGUGCGGGGCUCAACCCCGUGAUUGCAAUGGAAACUGUUAUUCUUGAGUGCAGGAGAGGAAAGUGGAAUUCCUAGUGUAGCGGUGAAAUGCGUAGAUAUUAGGAGGAACACCAGUGGCGAAGGCGACUUUCUGGACUGUGUCUGACGCUGAGGCGCGAAAGCCAGGGUAGUGAACGGG